rnacentral:rRNA from 1 species
GAAUUUUGGGCAAUGGGCGAAAGCCUGACCCAGCAACGCCGCGUGAAGGACGAAAUCCCUCUGGGAUGUAAACUUCGAAAGUCGGGAAAGAAAUCGGACAGGAUCAGACCCUGUGCGGAUGACGGUACCCGACGUCAGCCCCGGCUAACUACGUGCAAGCAGCCGCGGUAAUACGUAGGGGGCCAGCGUUGUUCGGAAUUACUGGGCGUAAAGGGCGCGUAGGCGGCACAGCAAGUCGGGAGUGACAGCCCGGGGCUCAACCCCGGAACUGCUUUCGAAACUGCUGAGCUAGAGUGCGGAAGGGGCAACCGGAAUUCCCAGUGUAGCGGUGAAAUGCGUAGAUAUUGGGAAGAACACCUGAGGCGAAGGCGGGUUGCUGGGCCGACACUGACGCUGAGGCGCGAAAGCCAGGGGAGCAAACGGG